UACGUAGGGAGCAAGCGUUGUUCGGAUUUACUGGGCGUAAAGGGCGCGUAGGCGGCGCGGUAAGUCACUUGUGAAAUCUCUGAGCUUAACUCGGAAACUGCCAUUGAUACUAUUAGUCUUGAAUGUCGUGGAGGUAAGCGGAAUAUGUCAUGUAGCGGUGAAAUGCUUAGAUAUGACAUAGAACACCGAUAGCGUAGGCAGCUUACUACACGAAUAUUGACACUGAGGCACGAAAGCGUGGGGAUCAAACAGG
rnacentral:rRNA from 1 species